GCUGGUGUGAUGUAAUGGUUUAUAUGUUGGACUACGGCUUGGGAGACCAGGGUUCGAUUCCCCACUCGAUCA